rnacentral:rRNA from 1 species
AAGUCGAGCGCGAAAGUCUCCUUCGGGAGGCGAGUAGAGCGGCGAACUGGUGAGUAUAAGAUGGGUAAUGUGCCCUGAUGUGGGGGAUAGCUCCGGGAAACCGGGAUUAAUACCGCAUGUCACCAUUCUUCACAAGAAGAUUGGGAAAAGGCCUUGAGUCGCAUCAGGAUCGGCCCAUCCCCCAUUAGCUUGUUGGUGAGGUCAAAGCUCACCAAGGCGACGAUGGGUAGCUGGCCUGAGAGGGUGGUCAGCCACACUGGGACUGAGAUACGGCCCAGACUCCUACGGGAGGCAGCAGUCUAGAAGCAUCCACAAUGGACGAAAGUCUGAUGGUGCGACGCCGCGUGUGGGGUAAGGCCCUUGGGUUGUAAACCACUGUCAGAAGGGAAUAAGGCUUGUAUAGCAAUAUGCAGGUUUGAAGGUACCUUCAGAGGAAGCACCGGCUAACUCCGUGCCAGCAGCCGCGGUAAUACGGAGGGUGCAAGCGUUGUUCGGAAUCAUUGGGCGUAAAGCGCGCGUAGGCGGACUGGUCAGUCUAUGGUGAAAUUUUCACGGCUCAACCGGAAAAGGCCCGUGGAUACUGCCAGUCUGGAGGACGGUAGAGGAGAGUGGAAUUCCUGGUGUAACGGUGGAAUGUGUAGAGAUCAGGAAGAACACCCGUGGCGAAGGCGACUCUCUGGACCGUUUCUGACGCUGAGGCGCGAAAGCCAGGGGAGCAAACGGGAUUAGAUACCCCGGUAGUCCUGGCCGUAAACGGUGGGUAUUAGGUGUAGGAGGUAUCGACCCCUUCUGUGCCGUAGCAAACGCAUUAAAUACCCCGCCUGGGAAGUACGACCGCAAGGUUGAAACUCAAAGGAAUUGACGGGGGCCCGCACAAGCGGUGGAGCAUGUGGUUUAAUUCGAUGCAACGCGAGGAACCUUACCCAGGCUUGAACUGCAGGGAAAAGCGGCCGAAAGGCCGUGUGCUUCGGCGUCCUGUAGAGGUGUUGCAUGGCUGUCGUCAGCUCGUGUCGUGAGAUGUUGGGUUAAGUCCCGCAACGAGCGCAACCCCCAUCCCUAGUUACCAGCGGGUAAUGCCGGGGACUCUAUGGAGACUGCCCGUGCAAGCGGGAGGAAGGUGGGGACGACGUCAAGUCAUCAUGGCCCUUACGUCUGGGGCGACACGCGUGCUACAAUGGCCGGUACAAUACGACGCAAGGCCGCGAGGCGGAGCAAAUCGUAAAAAGCCGGCCCCAGUUCGGAUUGUAGUCUGCAACUCGACUGCAUGAAGUUGGAAUCGCUAGUAAUCCCGUAUCAGACAUGACGGGGUGAAUGCGUUCCCGGGCCUUGUACACACCGCCCGUCACACCACGAAAAUCGGCUUUUCCCGAAGCCGGUGUAUGACCUUCGGGACAGAACCGUCGACGGAAAGGCUG